UACGAAGGGUGCAAGCGUUAAUCGGAAUUACUGGGCGUAAAGGGUGCGUAGGCGGUUCGUUAAGUCUGUCGUGAAAUCCCCGGGCUCAACCUGGGAAUGGCGAUGGAUACUGGCGAGCUAGAGUGUGUCAGAGGAUGGUGGAAUUCCCGGUGUAGCGGUGAAAUGCGUAGAGAUCGGGAGGAACACCCGUGGCGAAGGCGGCCAGCUGGGAUACACCUGACACUGAGGCGCGAAGGCGUGGGGAGCGAACGGG
rnacentral:rRNA from 1 species